rnacentral:lncRNA from 1 species
CCAAUUUUUUAGUGCUACUUGCUUAUGUGAGUUUAUCCACACGUGAUUUAAAGAGCAAGUGGCUAGCCUGCCACCUCAUUUUAAAACAAACCAAGCAACGAACCACUCAUUAAAAAAAAUAUAUAUUUAAAAAAAAAGACAAGCUAAUUCUUAAUUUGGUAUAUUUAUCUUCCCAAAUAGAAAAUUAGAUUCGUGUCAAUGGCUACAGGCGAACUUUAAAACAAACAAAUACAAUCCACCAACCAUAGCUAUGGGUCAGAAGAACUAUGAAGUUAGGUACGUUUUGAAGACUAUUCGUCAUGUACAGCGCCAAAUCACCCUCUAUGAUAUCAAGAUUCCAAUAUGCGUGAAUAAAUUAUUAACAGAUCACUCUCUUUUAUAACGAUUGAGUCACGUGGUUAAUAAUAAAAUUAAAAAUGGAGCUCAAUUAAAUUAAUUUUGUUUAGGGUUAGGAAAUUUGAGAGCUGAUGUGGAUCAUGGAUACAUUGAGUUUGUUUAGGUUAAAUAAAAAUUAGUUUGUUGUAAGAUUAGGAAGUUGGCUGUACAUUGAACUUGGUUUAAUCAAUGUACCUGAGGUGGCGCUGUGCUGUGCCCCUAUGUCUUAAUCAAUGUCCUUGUUGCGUCUCUUAAUUUUUAAUAUAAAAAAUCAGUUAUUUUUUCGUUUGUUUGUUUGAUUUGAUGUUUCAAUUUUGUUGGUAUUACUUAUAAAAUUGUAAGAUUAUAAGUACACGCACAUAACAUAUUUGAUAUGAGCAAUUAAAACAAUUAAAAUAACAUGAGUAAGUAUAUAUCCAAACGUGAAUUUCAAUUUAAAACGUUAUAAACGUAAUAGAUUAUUAUCCAUCACAUAAUCACAUUGGUGGAUUGAUGGCGAGACAAGAAUGGCUAUUCUAUUCUAUUGUAUUUAUAUAUAAAAAAAAAGAUUCCAAAUUUGCUAUUAUCAUCUAAAAUAUUGAUGACAAUAUUCAGUGCAUGAAAGCAACGUCAUCAUCAACAAUAAUAAUAUCAUGCCUGACAGUAGCGAGCUCAGAAGCCCCCCACCCCCCACCCCCCUCUCUCUCUAUAAGGAGCAAGUUGCACGUAACAUCAGCAGCAGUCCAUGAAAAAGUUUGAUUUAUUUAUUUGGUAAAUAACUCUGUGAGUUGUUGCUUGCUUCGCCCUCUACUUCCCUAUCAAUGUUUGGCGGUCCCAAAUUGUAUUCAGUGGCGCCCCGGCACUUGGACUGCUUAUGUCAAUUAAGUCCACAUCGUCAUUGUCUUCUUUUAUUGGUUCAGAAUAACUAUGUAAAGCCCAAAGGGUCAAGUAUGUUUUGAUUACUAAAGCCCAAACGCUUAACACCCAAAAUGUAGAGUAGACGGGAGGCCUGAGGAGGCCAACCAAACUGAAAAGAUAAGAUAGGCCCAAACUUAUUUGCAGGUAGGUUGGUUAUUAUUAGGAUUUGGAACAGAAACGUGUGAUUUGUUUGAGUUUGGUGAAUGAAUUGGGAAGCUCUGUAACUAGUAAGUUAGUAAUAGUAACUAUAACCUGAUGAUGAUUAAGUUAGUUAUCCAUUCACAGUUAUAAAAGUUUGAAGAAACACAAGACAAGACUAUUUAUAGAUAGGCAAGAUUAGUUUCUAGUUAUUCUAGGUUGUAACUUCACGUUUCUAGUUAGCAUCUUGUUACUGAGAGGUUUAAUUAGGGUGAGCUCAUGAUUAGUGUAUAUGUAUUAUCCCCAACACAACAGUAAUCUCUCUGGAGUUUUCUCAGAAUAUUAUUAAAAGCAAAACAAGGAAAAAGGUAAAAGGUAAAAGAUCUCCUCUUCUGCAGUUUUUCUUCAAAAUCUAGAUUGCGUUAGGUGGUGUCCCAUCCUCCGUCUGAAUAAAAGGUCAGUAUAAAUUCCAUGUCCACUCCCCUCCAUUGCAAGUUGUAUAUGCAUUCUUUUUCAUUAUGAUCAGAUCGAUAUGUCUUCAACUUUAAUUUGCAAGCAUCUUACUUACACAUGUACAAACAAAAAAUCACCACGCAUAGAUGCAGCAGAUAAUUGGACGGGGAAGAUUAAUUGGAUGUUCUAAAACAUUUGGAUACCUUAAACAUUGCCUGAGUGAACCGAAUUCAACCAAGGGAAGCUUUUCUUAUCUAAAAAGUACCAUUGCCUGGAUUCUUUUUGUCACCACAAAUUAAGUUACUGUUUUUGCAUUAAUUCCGAUAGUAUAUACAGCACUGGCAUUAAUUACAUGUUGGCCCUCCCUCCUUUCACUUUCUUCUCUUUCUUGACACAUAUAGAUAUGGCUAGCUAAUAAAGUAUAGGUGUUGGACAGGACAUUAUAUUAUUGGUUUCAUUUGAAAAAUUGAGAGAGAGAGAGAGAGAGAGAGAGGGAGAGGGAGGGGUGAAAAAUGCAUGGAGCUGAGAGAAGAAGAUCAACAUCCUCAGGAGGAGGAGGUGAUCAUCAUCAUCAGGAUAAUCAUGAUGAUGAGUAUGAUGAAGAUGGAGAGUCGCCGUUUGAGGUUGAGGAUGAGGUGGAGCUUUCAACAACACCCUGGUGGUGGUGGUGGAAAAGGCGUUUCACUUUCAGCAAUACCGACUCCAGUCUUACAACUACUGGUUCUAGAUCAUCUGCUGCAUCUUCCUUUUUCGAUCGUCUCGUCAUUCAUCCUGAUAACUGGUAUGUAUGGUACUUUCAAUUUCUGUCUAUUAGCUGGUUUAAAUUUCUGCGCAUGAAACACCAUGGUCCAUGGUGUUGUCCUUUGCCUCGGAUGCAGCCAUAAUUCUAAAAUGUGGUCUACAAUUAAUCCUGAGAAACCUACUUAUUUUAUCAUUACGAAAUUAAGUAUUAUUAUAUAUUCUACAUACGAGAGGAGUGGUGGUGUAAAUUUGAGCAAAUUGAACAUAAGAUUUUGGGUGCAUAGUCAACGUUUUUAGUCAUUUGAACUACAAAUUUUUUGCAUGUAAUUCACCUUAUUAGAACACAAAAAUCUCCAUUUUAUUCAUGAAUGAUAUACUUAGUAUAAUCUUUGUAAACAUUAACAUUUUGUUGUAAACAAUGUAACGACAAUACUACUCUCUUGAAAUUUGUAGGCCAAAAUAGAAACCUUUCACUAUAAUAUUUUGUUCUCUCUCUAUCUUCAUACAUUUGGGUGAAAGAGAGAAAAGGUGAAAUCACGGAAUUCAUGACUUUCUAUAGAACUUACAAGAAAUACUUUUUGAUGCACAUAAGGGAGAGAGAGAAAAAAGAAAACACAAAAGGCAAAAAGGAACUUUAAGUUGGGCCGGUUCAGUUCAGGUCCAAAGUUGUAGUACGUAUAGUCCAAAAUUGGGCUUGGGAGUUAUAUUUUAGGAUAAAGAAGUAAGGAUAGGGCCCACUUCAUAUUUUGGCGCGAAUACAAGCUCGUCCGCUCCAGGCUACCUUCAGGCCUCUGUGUACGGUUGUGAUGUGUGGUUUAAAUGAGGCAAAAACUGUGUAGGUCAAGUGAAGAAGUUGUUAAUGGUGGAAUUGGAAAUGCAGGUGGUACGUGGCGUGGACGCAUUUCAUUCUAAUAUGGGCAGUCUACUCGUCCUUCUUCACCCCCUUGGAGUUCGGCUUCUUCAGAGGUCUGCCGGAGAAUCUCUUCCUGCUCGACAUCGCAGGCCAGCUCGCCUUUCUCAUCGACAUCGUCGUCCGCUUCUUCGUCGCCUACCGCGACUUCCACUCCCACCGACUUGUCUACAAUCGCAACCUCAUCGCCCUCCGCUACCUAAAGUCUCGCUUCCUCCUCGAUUUACUGGGUUGUCUGCCUUGGGACGCCAUCUACAAGGUAAGCUAGGGCUACAAUUAAUUAACUUCAAUUUCAAAUAUUAAUUUAAUUUAAUAAAUGAUAUCUGAUCUUAAUUGCAUUGCAUUGCAGGCUUCUGGAAAAGAAGAGGGUGUGAGGUACCUGUUGUGGAUACGUCUGAGCCGAGCAUGCCGAGUGACAGAGUUUUUUGAGAAGCUUGAGAAAGAUAUAAGGAUCAACUACCUUUUCACAAGAAUUGCCAAGCUUUUUGUUGUGGAACUUUACAGCACACAUACAGCUGCCUGCUUCUUUUAUUAUCUGGCCACAACCAUGCCUCCCUCCCAGGAGGGAUACACUUGGAUUGGAAGCUUGAAGAUGGGUGACUAUAGCUAUUCCCAUUUCCGAGAGAUUGACCUCUGGAAGCGUUACAUCACCUCACUCUAUUUUGCCGUUGUUACCAUGGCCACUGUUGGUAAUUAAUCAAUUAAUUAAGCUUCUUAAUUCGUUUCUUAUUAUGUAUCCCUGAUUUAUUUUCAAGAUGGGUCAUAAAUGAGUAUGCUUUUUCCUUUUUUGUUUUCCAGGAUAUGGAGAGAUACAUGCAGUGAAUGUGAGGGAGAUGAUAUUCAUCAUGUUUUAUGUGUCUUUUGACAUGAUUCUUGGUGCUUAUCUGCUGGGUAACAUCGCUGCAUUGAUUGUGAAAGGAUCGAAAACAGAAAAGUUUAGGGACAAGAUGACUGAACUAAUCAAAUACAUGAACAAAAACAGGCUUGACAGGGGCAUAAGUAAGGAAAUUAAAAACCAUUUGAGGUUACAGUAUGACCGUAGCUACACCGAAGCCACUGUUCUUCAGGACAUUCCAGCCUCUAUUCGCAGCAAGGUAGUUGUUUAAAUUGAGGCUGAAAACUAUGGAUUCCGAAUUUAAUCAAAUAAUCUCUUUCUUAUUCUUGGUUUAAGAGAACAAGCUUGUUGAAUGGUUUUGCUUCAUUUGGUGAACUAUGAAAACAAGAAUGUCAUCUUAGAUGUUCACCUUCUAUCGUCUUGUCUUUAAAGUAUUAAUAUAAAGAUAACCAACAUAUGAGUUUACUGGUGGCCAAGUAGUAUACACUAUACAGUUAGGAUCUUAAUUUUGAUUGGCAUACUGCUGAUUGUGAAACUGUACUAAAAUCUAUUGUUUCUUCUUUGCAGAUUUCGCAGAAAUUAUAUGAGCCGUACAUCAAAGAAGUUCCUCUGUUUAAGGGGUGCUCUUUAGGCUUCAUAAAGCAGAUUGUAAGUCAUUGUCUUCGGUAACUUUAUCCUAUCUGACGAGCAACAUACUGUCAUCGUUGGAUAUUUUCAUCACCUUUGAUUAUUCAUAACAUAAAUGUUAACAAUUCUAAACUUCAAUUCUUUUACAGUACAGGAAUCUAACCUAUGUUUCUGGUUUUAUCAGGCAACCAGAAUUCACGAAGAGUUUUUCCUUCCACCAGAAGUUAUUAUAGAGCAGGGGCAAGCAGUUGAUCAACUAUACAUAGUAUGCCAUGGUGAGCUGGUAUGAAUUACAAAUUUAAUUGUUUAGUCCCAUUAUGUCUAUACCUUUAUUCUGUUUUUAAUGCAUUUGCAGUACUGUGUUAUUUGUUCUCAAACAUAAUAAAGUCACUCUGUCCAAAAUUAAUUGUAUCAGUUUCUCAAACAUUGAUCUUUGUGCUGCUCUUAGUAUAACACAUAACCUGAACUCAUAUGAAUAAUAAUAUGUUAUCAUGCAUUCAUUUGCAGGCUGAACUCAAACCCUUCUGGUUGGGCUGGCUGCUACCUUUUGGUUAUAUAUAAUAAAGCAAGCCCACACAAACAUAAAACUAGGAGCUUUGUAGCAUACAUGCAAGGCUACGCAGCUGCAUGCACACAUGACCCACCCUUCUCUGUUUUCCUAUAUUCAUUCUUUUAUGUUUACAUUUAUAUAUUCAUUCAUUGACCCUUUAGUAAAGGGUAAAAUAAUAGUUACUCUACGUAGUCUAUGCUUACCACAAUAUGUAUUUUUGAAUUAUUAUGUCUAAUAGAUCUGAUAUUGUCUACAGGAGAAGUUGGGAAGGGAUGAAGAUAAUGAAACUGAAGAGCUCCUUGAGCGUCUGCAAACCUAUAGCUCAUUUGGUGAGGUUUCCUUUCUUUGUAACACUCCCCAGCCGUAUGCUGUUCGGGUUCGUCAACUGUGCAGGGUCUUGCGACUUGAUAAACAAUCCUUUAGAGAAAUCUUGGAGAUGCAUUUUUUAGAUGGGCGCAUUAUCCUAAACAACCUCAUUGAGGUAAUAGACUUGGAAAUUUUUGUAUUCUUCUUUUUCUUGCUUCCACCCACAAGAGAUGCUGAGUUGUGCCCAUGCACUUUGCAAAUGAAAAAAAUUAAUUCCAUAAGCUCACUUCUCAACUUACAGGGAAAAGAUUUGAAUACCCGGAACAAGCUUUUGGAAUCAGAUAUCAUACUAUAUAUUGGAAAGCAUGAAAUGGAGUUAAUUAUGAAAGUAAAUUGUGCUGCCUAUGAUGGAGAUUACUAUCGAGUAAAGCGUUUGAUUGGAGCAGGAGCAGAUCCAAACAAGACGGAUUAUGAUGGAAGGUCGCCUUUGGUAUGAAUCUAGAUGCCCAAGCUACUAAUUGAUAUUUAUAAAUUAGAACAAUGGUGCCAGAAUAACAUAAAUAACUUCUCUUUGAUGACACCCCUGCUCAUAUGUAUGUGUGUGGUUUACUUCAUCUUUAUUUAUUUCCCGCAGCUUGUUGCAGCAUCGAAAGGGUAUGAAGAUAUUAUUGGUUUCCUUAUUGAUCAAGGAGCAAAUGCUGAGAUUUCAGGUGAUCUUCUAACGAGCUCUGCUAAAAAAUUCAACUGGAUCAUGUAUUUUCUGAAGAAAUCUUACUAGUUACUACUACUAUUGUUGAUUAACCCUGAUUGUUACUGUAAUAUUAGAUAAAUUUGGGAACACUCCGUUGCUUGAAGCCAUUAAAAAUGGGCACGAUCAAGUAGCUUCUUUACUUGUUAAGGCAGGGGCGUCGCUUACUAUUGAUGACGCUGGUGAAUUUCUCUGUAUUACGGUAGCAAGGAGGAGUUUGAACCUUCUGAAAAGGCUCUUAGCCAAUGACAUUAACCCAAAUGCAAAAAAUUAUGAUCAGCGAACAGCACUUCAUGUAGCUGCUUCAGAAGGCUUAUAUCCUAUGGCAGAGUUCCUUUUAGAAGCGGGAUCAAGUGUUCUAUCAAAAGACAGGUACAAUCUGAAUGUUCAUCUGGUUUGUGAGGCAUGGAUGACUGACCUUAUGGUCUUCUUGAGACUACUGUUUAAAUAUCAGCCCAAUUGUGUAUACCUAAAAUUAACAUGAUUACUGCCUUCUUUCUGCAACCAACAUGUUUAAAACCAUUUAAUAGGCGAAUUUAGCUCCUUAAAAAAAAGUAAUUCCAACAUGCACAUUUAUACUUUCUAAUUAGUCUACGUCCUGAUUGCAGAUGGGGAAGAACUCCACUUGAUGAAGCCCGUAUAGGUGGAAAUAAGAAACUAAUCAAACUGCUUGAAGUUGCUAGAGCUUCGCAGUUGUAAGAGUUCUCUAAUCAAUAUCAUCAAGAAACUAACUAAGCAUUUCUCUGAUCAAUGUGUAUUAUCAGUAACGCAUUUAUACUUGAUUAAAUGAUGAAGUGUUAUAGGAAGUGGAACAAAAGUUCUAAGAUGUUGAUAUAUGUGUUGAGAAUUUUUGUUAGAAUCUUUAAUUACCCUUUCGAUUUUCUAAUCUGCGUAGCGUGGAAUUGAUGGAUUAAACUAUUAUUUUUUAUCUGGCUUGGCAAUCCUCACUUGUCUUAUAAAAAUCAAGGACCCGAGUGAUUAAUUAAUUAAAGCUCUUAAAUAUGGAAGUAAUGCAUGAAUGCAUCAAGUUAUCUGGAUCGGAAUAGUAAAACGAAAGAAGCACAACUUUUAUUCCCACAGAUGGUCUUAGUAGCUGGCUAUAGGUUACAUAAAUGCAUGGAUGCAUGAGCAGCAGCUGGAUGCAUAUUAUUGAAACCCAAAUCACAAGAAGAAAACUUAAGAAAAUGCCACUUUCGCAGGGAAAGCGAUUGCAUUUAGCGUAUGCAUUAUGCCUUUUUAACCCAUAGGUGACCCUGAUGGGACGAGUGAAGUUUCGUGAGGGUUUAUCAUGCAGGCUUUUCUUCUUUCUUGUGCUUAAGUUAUAGAAACUGACACCAGUGUAAAUACCACCUUCCUUGGGCCUCUAGGGUAACUGUAGGGAGGGCUGCAUUCAGACAACUUUUCUUGGCAUCAGUCAACCUCUUGCAGAAAUUGUUGUUGCCCAGGUUGCGAAGAGCUACAACGACAUUGACGUCGUUGAUGUUUGUCUGAGUUUUUGUUGGCGGUGUCGUUUGAGUCAGCCGAAAUCCAGUUGUUAAUACUAUUAUCAGGGCUAGUGUUACGCCUCCGGAAGUUUUGAGUGUGAGUGGACUUUAUGCGAACACUGUGAUCUCCGGCAAUGAAGACCUCGUUUUCCACCUUCGGAUCAGUAGGAUCAGUGGCUGAGAACUGCAAAUAUGGGUGUCCAUCCAUGGAUUGAGAUAGUUGCCAUUGUCGCCUUUGAAGGCUAUAUGCUUGGGCAAAAUCACCAAAGCUUCCCAGUCGAUGACCGUGUAGACAUCAAAGUUUUGGCUGUCUGGAGUUGCUUUCCUUGCAAAGAGGCAUGCCUGGAAGUUGUUUGCGGAGAAUAGAUCUAAAUAGUGACAGAGUUGCACAAGGCGCAAUCAGAUUAGGGCGAUGCUGCCGCUGCUGUUGUUGUCUGCUUGGAGUUGAAAAAGCUCAGGCUCGAAGAGCGUACAUGACCAAUGGGAUUGAUCUUCCUGUGGCUCUCGUCAGCCUCGGCCACAAUCUACCAAUGGUUUUGGUCCGCAUUGCUCUUGCUGCCAAUCCCAUCUUUCACGCACUCACGAAGCAUAUUGAAAUCGAUUAUCACUUCAUUCGUGACUUGUUUCCUUCCAAAGCAAUUUAUCCAACAUUUUCCCUCUCAACAGCAACUUGCGGACAUCUUCACCAAGGGUCUCUGCACAAACCAGUUUCUCAUUCUCAGCUCCAAGCUAAUCACUCGUCAUCCUCCUAUUCGCUUGCGGGGGUUGGGGGUGUUCGCUUGCCGGGGGACAUAGAGCUGACCUCAUAAUAUCAAGACCUCAAUAUUUCUAAGGAAAACGGCUGACUCAAUAUCAAUCCUACACUUGUCCAUAUUCUUUGUAACCAACUUUAGCUCUAAAGAAAUCUACGGAAUAUAUCAAUAUACUAGGAAAUACUGUACUCAUUUGACAUAGAGUGGAAACAGAGAAAAUAUACUUAAAUGAUUAUUUUUCUUUCUUCUCAUAUUUCCAUUAUACAAAGUAAAAAAUUAACUAUAAUUAUGUAUAUGGACACGUGCUAUGUUGCAUGGAUACGAACGCGGGGACAUAAAAUGCAUCUUCAAGACAUUCCAGCCUCUAUUCGUAGCAAGCUAGUUGUUUAAAUUCCAGCUGAAAACUAUUGUGAAACUGUACUAAAAUCUUAUUGUUUCUUCUGUGCGGAUUUCACAGAAAUUAUAUAAACCAUACAUCAAAGAAGUUCCUUUGUUGAAGGGGUGCUCUUUAGGCUUCAUAGGCAGAUUGUAAGCCAUUGUCUUCGGUAAUUUUAUCUGAUCUGAUUAACAAAAUAGAAAAUUUGGGAUAAAAUUUAGAACAUAAGUUGAAUUUAAUCCUCUUGCAGAAAUUGUUGUUGCCCAGGUUGCGAAGAGCUACAACGACAUUGACGUCGUUGGUGUUUGUCUGAGUUUUUGUUGGCGGUGUCGUUUGAGUCAGCCGAAAUCCAGUUAUUAAUACUAUUUAUCAGGGCGCGCAGAGCUGACCUCAUAAUAUGAAGACCUCAAUAUUUCUAAGGAAAACGGCUGACUCAAUAUCAGUCCUACACUUGUCCAUAUUCUUUGUAACCAACUUUAGCUCUAAAGAAAUCUACGGAAUAUAUCAAUAUAAUAGGAAAUACUGUACUCAUUUGGCAUAUAGUGGAAACAGAGAAAAUAUACUCAAGUGAUUAUUUUUCUUUCUUCUUUUUAUUCCUUCCUUUAAUUUUCUUCUAGCAUUUUCAGAUUCUAUAUAUAAGUUUCUAGUGAGUAUUUUCCUCUCCACUUUAACCCAAUGUGCAUCUUCACUAGUACUAUACUUCUUCACACUUGACACGUGUUCAUAUGCAUAACCAUGGUUCCAUCAUACAAAGUAAAAAGUUAAUCAUAAUUAUACAUAUAGACACGUGCUAUAUUGCAUGUCCCCGGACGCGUCUUCAAGACAUUUCAGCCUCUAUUCGCAGCAAGCUAGUUGUUUAAAUUUCGGCUGAAAACUAUUGUGAAACUGUAUUAAAAUCUUAUUGUUUGUUCUUUGCAAAUUUCCCAGAAAUUAUAUGAGCCGUACAUCAUAGAAGUUGCUUUGUUUAAGGGGUGCUCUUUAGGCUUCAUAAAGCAUAUUGUAAGCCAUUGUCUUCAGUAAUUUUAUCUGAUCUGAUUAACAAAAUAGAAAAUUUGGGAUAAAUUCAAAAUUUAGAACAUAAGUUGGGUUUAAUCUUCGCAUUUGUUGCCAUUGAUACAAGUCCUUUGACUUCUCUACCAAAUAGGAUUGCAUUCAUUGUGUAGAAAUUAAUUUAUAGGACCAUAAUUACGAGAUUUUAUUUUGAUUUUAAUAUAGGGAUGUAUAUAGGUUAAUAAAUCCCAUAAUUUGAGGACAAUUUAUUUUGGAAAUACAACAAAAUAACAAUUAUUGUCUUUGUUCAUCCUAUGGUAGAGGUAUAUUGUAUACUCUUGUAGAUAUAUUAUUCAAUGGUGUAGGUAUAUUGUCCUAUUGCCUAUUGCAUAGGUAUAUAUGUGCGUGUGUGUGUGUGUGUUUGUUUUUUUGUGUGCAUAUUUUUGACAAUGUGUAAUAGUAUUUUAUAUACUUUUUUUUUUAUAGGAAACAUACAAUUUUAUUUGUCUAUUUUGUUAUAUGACUUAUAGAUGGUCUUCUAAUUUAUGUUCCUAACUUAUAGGUAGUCUUUUAAUUUAUGUGUCAAACUUAUAGUUAACACGAUUUUUCACUAAGUUUUUUUCGUUGCUAAUAAUAACACUAUUUUUACUUGUAUGUCAUGUACAUAAUUUCAUGUGAGUGCUUGUCUGAUUGAUUGGUAUAAUACGUGGGUCUUUACUUUUCAUUGAUUAAAUUGUAUUUCAUCCAUAAAUUAGGUAAAUAUUAUCAAGGAAAGAAUUCAAAAUUUAAAUUCUGAAAUUCAAUUACAAGGAAAUAAUGCAUUAAAUUUAGAUUUUCAAUGUGUUUUCCUUAUUUAACUCAAAGGGUAAAAUCGACACAACAAAAAAAGUGAUAAAUGUCAAAUGACUUACAUUUAAAACCAAAAACUCAUGGGCUAAAUCUAAUAGUGGCUAAUCGUUUUAGAGCUAGAUCUAAGAAGCCCUUAACAAAAUGAUGACAUCGUUGGAUAAUUUCUUCACCUUUGAUUAUUCAUAAUAUAAAUAUUAACAAUUCUAGACUUCGCUUCUUUUAUAUAUAGUAGAGGAAUUUGAUGUAGAAUAAAUGGUUGAAUGGAUUGAAAAAGAAUUGGAGCGAAAAGGGAAAAAGGGGGCAACAUGAAUUUACAGAUUUAGCGUCCGAUCUCCGAUUGGAUUGCAUAAUAUCUUCUUGAAAAUGGAAUGACGCCAUGAGUCCAACUGACAGCUUUGGGAUAUAUGGUGGAGUUUGGGCUUCUGAGGUCGUUUGUCCUUCCAAAAGUGCAUUUAAAAUUACAUUCAAUUUACAGAUUUUCUGUUUCUUUUUUGUUAAGUUUUCAAUAACUCCCCAUGGCAGUCCAAUGGGUGAGAAGGUUGUAUUUACUCAGCCGUCAUGCUUGAAUUGAUCUCAAGUUUUAUCAAAUAAUACAAAGAGAAUUUCUCUCUGAUUUCCUGGUGAAUUUCAGAUUAUUAUUUUUUAGGAUUUUAGCUUGAAAAUCUAUUUACUUGUGCUGCUUCAGAAUCUAACCUAUGUUUCUGGUUUAUCAGGCAACCAGAAUUAAUUCAUGAGGAGCUUUUCCUUCCAGCAUAAGUGAUUUAUAGAGCAGGGGCAAGCAAUUGAUCAACUAUACAUAGUAUGCCAUGGUGAGCUGGUAUGAGUUACAAUUUUACUUGUUUAGUCCCAUUAUGUGUUAUACCGUUAUUCUGCUUUGCAGUACUGUGUUACGUGUUCUCAAACAUAAUAAAUGUUAAUUUAUUAAGGGCUCGUUUGGUACACAGGACUGUCUUGGCAUGGACUAUGCUUAGGGACUGACUUGGCUUGGCUUAGCUUGGUCUAAGUUGGAUAACACUUAUCCUGCGUUUGGUGUAUGCUUGGACUAGGACUAUGAUUUUUUUAUUUUUUCAAAAAUAUCUAUAUAUAUGUAUAUAUGUAUUUUAUAAUAUAUAUAAUAUAUAUGUAUAUACAUGUAUAUAAGUAUAUUAUAAUAAUAUUAUAUAUUUUAAAUAAUAUAAACGUACAUACAUAUAUAUAAGUGUAUAUAGGUGUAUAUAUGUAUAUUAUAAUAUACAUGGGUAUAAUACAUAUAUACAUAUAUUUAUAUAUAUAUGUAUGUAUAUUAUAAUAUAUAAUAUAUAUAUGGGUAUGUUAUAAUAAUAAUAAUAAUAAUAAUAUACAUGUAUAUAUGUGUAUAUAUGUAUAUUAUAUAUGUAUGUAUAUAUACAUAUAUAUUAUAUAUAUAUUACAAAAUACAUAUGUAUAUAUAAUAUAUGUAUAUAUAUACGUAUAUACAUGUAUAUAAUAUAUGUGUAUAUAGGUGUAUCUAUAUAUUAUAAUAUAUACAUGGGUAUAAUACAUAUACAUAUACAUAUGUAUAUUAUAAUAGAUAAUAUAUAUGGGUAUGUUAUAAUAAUAAUAUACAUGUAUAUACGUGUAUAUAUGUAUAUUAUAAUAUAUAUAUAUAGUAUAAAUAUAUAAUGUAUAUGUCUAUAUACGUGUGUAUAUGUAUAUUAUAAUACAUACAUGGGUAUAAUAUAUACACAUAUAUGUAUAUAUACUUAUAUAUAUGUAUUAUAAUAAUAUAUAUUACAUAUAUACAUGUAUGCUAUUAUUAUAAUAUUAAUAUGCAUGUGUAUAUGGGUAUAUUAUAAUAAUAAUAUACAUGUAUAUAUCUAUAUGUAUUUAUAUAUUAUAUAUGUAUAUAUAUGUGUUUAUAUAUACAUGUAUAUACGUGUAUAUAUGUACAUUAAUAUAUAAUAUAAUAUAUAUUACAUAUAUACAUGUAUACAUGUAUGCUAUUAUUAUAAUAUUACUAUGUAUGUGUAUAUGAGUAUAUUAUAAUAAUAAUAUAUGUGUAUAUAUCUAUAUGUAUUUAUAUAUAUUAUAUAUGUAUAUAUGUGUAUAUAUAUACUUGUAUAUGUGUAUAUACAUGUAUAUAUGUACAUUAUAGUAUAUGUGUAUAUAAUAAUAAUAAUAAUAGUAAUAUAUGUUAUUAGUAUUACAAUAUAAUAUAUGCAUCUCAUACAUUGGUAAACAUAGGACUAGCUAAUCCUCCCUUUCUACAUGGGAUUAGUAGUCCCCUCCUAAGGAGGUGUUUUUGGUGGGCCCGGUAUUAGCAAUCUCAUCUAAGACUAGAAUUAAAUGAAACAAACGUGGUACUAAAUUUAAUCCAAACCAAUCCAAGCCAAGCCUGUGUACCAAACGACCCCUAAAUGUUGUUUCAAUUCAAUUUAGCAUCAAAACAAUUAAAUGUUGGCCAAACAUUCAAAGCAUUAAGCAUGGUAAUAAAUACUCAAGAUGGAAAAAAUACUUGGAAUUAACAUCGACUAAAGUAAUUGAGUAUUCAUGGCUAGGCUACAUCGUAGCCCUAGCAAGAAGAAAUUAGUUCAUGACAACUUUAAUAAAAACCAUGAUAAAUAGUAUCAUAGGAAAGAAGUAACCAAUUGAAGAUUUGAUCUCUGCACGACAGCAACUCUAGCUCCAGGUUGUCUUCUUUGUCUCUCUAAAACUCUCUCAACAAUAGAUGAUGGGUAGAUGAUGGAGGAUGGAUGAUGGGUAAUGGAUCCUUUCAACAAUGACCUAAACUCCCUAUUUAUAAAACUCCUAGAAAUCCUACCUAAGGAAUAAUUACAAUUGUUAUAAAAAUAGGAUUCCUUCUAAAAUAAGGUCUUCUUUAUUUCUUCUUGUUUGACUUGAUAAGACUUGCACCAUCUUGAACUAGGAAAUUUGACAACAUUCCUUGCAACAAAAGGAAUGACUUGGCUUCUUUUUAAUUGAUCUUCAUCUCCUUGCCUUUUUUAGCACAUUUUCUCCUAUUUCACAAUUCCUUCACAAAUCUCACAAAACCAAUUAAAAACAACCAAUUUAAUCUAAAAAAUUAAUAAAUAAAUAAACAAAGGAGGCAUAAAAUAUAUAUAUAUAAAAUAUAGACUUAUCACUAUAUAUAUAUUCUUUACAAAAAUUUAAAGCUCCUUAAAGCCCAUAGAAACCGGUAAAGUCACAGUUUUUUUGACUUUUGAAUAUGGGCAAUACACGAGAAGAUGGACAGUAUUUUGAUAACUCUGUUUAGACUAAAAGCUAAGGACUGUCUAUUAACAAAUAAUUCCAACAUGCAACCUUUUUAAUUAGUCUACUUCCUGAUUGCAGAUGGGGAAGAACUCCACUUAAUGAAGCCCGCAUAGGUGGAAAUAAGAAACUAAUCAAACUGUUUGAAGUUGCUAGAACUUUGUAGUUGUCAGAGUUAUCUAAUCAAUAUCAUCAAGAAAUUAGCUAGCUAAGCAUUUCUCUGAUCAAAAUGAUAAAUUGUCGAUCGGCAAUACAUUUAUCCUUUGAUUAAAUGAUAAAUGUUUAUAAGACUUGGAACAAAAGUUCUGAGAUGUUAUAUGUGUGAAUUUUGUUAGAAUCUUUAAUUCUCUUUUCGAUUUUCUAAUAUGCGUACCUUGGAAAAUAUGAAUUGAACUAUUAUUAUUGUUGAUCUGACUUGGCAAUUCUCAGCGUCAAUUAUUCUUACUAGGCUUGUAAUAAUCAAGGAUCGAGUAAUUAAUUAAUUAAAGCUCUUGAAUCAUGGAAGUAAUGCAUGAAUGCAUCAAGUAAUCCGGAUCAGAAUAGUAAAACCAAAGAAGCACAACUUUUAUUCCCGCAGAUAGUCUUAGCCUAGGUUACAUAAAUUAAUGCAUGAAUGCAUGAGCAGCAGCUGCAUGCAAUAUUAUUGAACCCAAAUCACAACAAAAGGAAAACUUAAGACAAUGCCACUUUCGCAGGGAACGCGAUUGCAUUUAGCGUAUGCAACAAGCCUUUUAAACCUAUAGGUGACCCUGAUAGGACGAGUGAAGUCUCGUGAGGGUUUCCAGUGACGCUACCCACAAACAUCGUAUUAACUUAACAGGAUGAUCAUCCUGGAAGUUUUUCGACAAUGAAGAAAUGUUCAUGGGUGGGGCCUCCAGGUUCUGCAAUGAGGGCAUUUUCGAACUCGUUUCCAGAUUUUGGCUUUAAAAGGUUUCCCAUUUUCUCAUGGUGGAACUUGUAUAUGCCUUCGGUGUACGGUCCUGGUGGUUUCACAACCUCAGGCUUGAAGAGUGUACAUGACCACAGCGUUUUAUUUGGCUGUUUCUCGUCAGCCCCGGCCACAAUCCACGAACUGUCUUGGCUUGCCGUUAUCCAGUAUUUGUCGUUGUAGGUGGAUUUUAUAUGCACCAGACUGGGGAGGUUUACGUCCUUCUCCACUUUGAACCUUGCGUAUUUGCUCUGAACAUCCUCUCCGGAGCAUUGGAGAAUAUCUUGCAUCUUUUCGGUGGCUUGGUCUUUGUAGACCAAGUAUUUACCGCUCGUGAAUGAUUUAAGAGCAAUGAACUUUGGUAAUUCUGCCAUUUCUGAUGAUCUCUCGCUCGCGCUUCAAUUUUUUUUUAUGUAAACUCACUUCUCUCUCUCUCUCUCGUUGCUUAUUGCUUUUCCUAACUCCAACCUGCUGUGCUAUUUAUAAUCAAGCAAACCCAAACCCUGCAUGCAGCUCUGGCUUCUUUUUCUUGCUGUACUGGCCCGCGAUAAGAAAAUUGAAGCCACAAAAAAAAAAAGUCGAGCCAGGUGGCAGUUUUGAAAGGUCAAGUAAUAUUGUUCUUGAUAUAAAACAAACUAAAGCGUGCUCCACGUCUUCAAAUAAAACAAAGUUAAGGCUAGUAAUUAUCGACAUCGAUAUUUUGCGAUAUUAUCGUCGAUAUUGUCAAUAUUUAUACGAUAUGUACAUGGAUAUGUUUCGAAAUAUCCGUGAUUCAAAAAAACCGAAAUAUCCUCGAUAUUUCCUCGAUAUUAUCGAUAUUUCAGACUAUGAUGUGAACUUGAUUAUGUAAUUUCUACUACAUGCACUUAUGGGACAUAACCAUUUAUCAAUUAUAAUAAUGUCACAUAAAAAUUGAAGCCACAAAAAAAAAAAAGUCAAGCCAGGUGGCAGUUUUGAAAGGUCAAGUAAUAAUGUUCUUGAUAUAAAACAAACUAAAGCGUGCUUCACGUCUUCAAAUAAAACAAAGUUAAGCCUAGUAAUCUAUUCUCUGUUGUAAUGUGAACUUGAUUAUGUAAUUUCUACUACAUGCACUUAUGGACAUAACCAUUUAUCAAUUAUAAUAAUGUCAUCGACUAGGACUGAACAGCGACGGCUGAAGGCCCAGCUCAUUCUUAAUCUUAGGCAACACAUGUGCUGGGUUUCAUUUCAUAAAUUCAUAACCAAACCAAGCUAGGUCAUAGAAGGAAGCAAAUUAAGCAAUUGAAAUCCACAUCGGCUGAAAAAAUCUCUCUUGAAAAACCAUAUAAUUGGAGGGUCUGCAAAACUAGACUGUGUGUACGUAGCCAACUUUAUUAAAAUGCCAAUUCAAGUCCUAUGAACACACAUUUCCUUGAAAGUUGCUGGCCAAAUUUUCUUUGUUUUGGUUUUCAAUGAGUUCGAUUUCCUUGAGCAUCACUGAAAAGAUAUUAUAUAUGUGAAAUCUUUUUGUCAGUCUUUGAAUUUACCCAAUGUGGGUGAUCAAUUUUUAUGAUUGCAUUCUAGACUUCUCCUUAGUACAAAACAAAACUACGUGAUUGAUUGAAACGUCAUUAAUUAAUUUAGACAUAUAGGCAUUUGCAUUAAUUCAUUCUAGAUAGUAGAUACACAUCUCCAUAACGCAGAAAGAAUUAGCAUGUCCUUAAUGUGAACUUCGUUAAUAAAUUGAAGAGGAGUUGGAGAACAGUUAGAUGAAUGAAUUAAAGAGGAGUUGGAGAGACGCGGAUGCAAGGGCACACUAAGAAAACUACAGGGUUUAUUUAUAGUUUUAGUGCUAAUAAUGGGUAUAUGACUAAAUAUCUCUAUAAAAAAAAUUAGUGAAUUUAAUCAGAAUGUAAUGACUUAUAGAAUUUUACCUUGGGGCACUUUAAGUCCGUUCCUCCUUAAUAAAGCAUCACUUAAUAGAUUUGAAUUAUGAGCUGAACCCUCCCACCCGCUAAAAACGUAAAUGAAUUCUAAAUCAAAGUUACAAGCUACUGAAACCAUUUAUCAAUUAUAAUUAUGUCAUUAAUUAGGAUUGAACAAUAUGAUUGUAAUGCCAUUUCUAAAGCGUGCUUCACGUCUUCAAAUAAAACAAAGUUAGGCCUAGUAUUUUCUUCUUUAUUGUUUCGGUGCUUAAUGUGAACUUCAUUAUGUAACUUCUAUUACUUGUACUUAAGGGCCAUAGCCAUUUAUCAAAUUAUAAUGAUGUCAUUAAUUAGGAUUGAACAACAAGGUCGUUGAGAUGUUUACAUACUUUAAUUACAGACAUAUGAUAAGUUUAGGAGAGUGAUAUGUAGUUUCAAUUAUUCCUUUCACACAUACCCUAAACUUUAAACCCUAAACCCCUUUCUCUUAAGCAAAAUCUAUCGGUUUUGGGUAAGUUUGAGACACUUGUGGACGAUUGUUUUUAAUUUGGACCCUAUGAAAAUACCUGUAGGAUGUCUAUAUAAAUACCUAGAGAAGGUUAAAUAGGCUAAUUCGAUUUUUGCAAUGAAUAAUAAUCAACUUUUGAAGUAGGAUUGAUAUGAGUUAUCAAUCCUGAAAUGUGCAGAGCUUAAAAUAAAAGAACACACAGAUAUUUAUUUUACGUGGUAAAACCCCACAUCUGGGGAAAAUCCACGGGACUCCUUAGUCCAGAACGAAUCCACUAUAGAAUUGAGAUUACAAGAAGUUCUCACACACACUUAUCCUAGACUCAAUGUUUACCGACUUAUUCAUAAUGUUUACCGACUUAUUCAUAACUCAACUUUUGUCAUGGGAUGAUCUUCGACACUCCUUAUGUUGAACGCAAUAUUGGUCACGAUUGCUUCAAGCUCACCGGAGGAUAAACGCCACAAACGUCUUGAUGCCCUUGACCGUAUGAGCCACUGACAUGCAUAUGUAUGCAAUAUGAAUGAUGAAUGAGUUUGAUAAAUCACCAAGCAACCAGGAGCCCUUGAUGACUUACCGAGAAAAAUAAGUACAGUAGCUUUUCCAAAAAACAGAUUCAAUAUGCUCUCAAAAUCAAUGCGUUGAAAUGCUACACUAUGAAAAGAAGACACCUUGGUUUUAUUCAAAACAGGUUCUCUCAGUCAAGAGAAACCUACUUGACCACCAAUCCAAUUCACGAAAGACUUUCAACCUUAUUCAACUACCACACAACAAAACCUGAUGCAAUAUGGACACUAGUUAAACAUGUCAAACAGGAGACCACUCAUACUGUUCAAGCAUGAAUGUUUCUUUUGAUUCAAUUUACAUGCUAUGUGAUGAUGCCAGCUAAUGCACGAUGUGAGGAAACCUCAUGACUUUCUACUACAGCCAAUCCUUUAAAACAAUAUCUACCUAACAAAUUAAUUAGACCGAUCAAGUAGGAAAUAAUAUCAAGAGAUAAAAUAUAAUCUUAUUGAAAAUAGGAUUAACAUAAAAAUACUUGAGUGAAAAUAAUUUCAAUUAGGAGUCCUAUAAUGAAUGCAUGAUUAUGUUAUGAUUUACCUGUUGUCAAGUUUCUCAUAUGGUCAGGUCAUGCCUCGGAAGUAUAGGGUUGAGAGAGUUGUGCCAAAGCGUCCAGUAACAAUUCCUCACAAACUAAUUUUCAACUUAUGCUAAAGUCUAGGAAAUGCCAAUACGAUUUUCGUACUAACACCCUACAAACAAAUAAAUUAAAGAAAAAAAAGUAAAAGAAGAAAAGAAUAUAAAUUCAUAUAUCUCAAUUUCUUGUGUGAAGCUUUUAAAUUCAUUUCAAAACUAAAAUUAAAAUUUAUUUGUUUUGGUUUUCAAUAAGAUUAAGUUGGAUUUCCUAAAGCAUCAUCACUGAUCUGAUGGCAUCAGAUAAGUCUUUGAAUUACCUAAUGUGAUUGAUUGAUUGGAAUGUAUCCUUAAUACUAAAAAAAAACCAUGUGAUCGACACGUCAUUGAGCACUUCCACUCUAUCGGCAAGGGCAAGGCAAGAGCAAGAGUUUAGGAUAAGAUUUUUAGUUGCCACUUGUCCAUAUUUAUUAUAACAUUCACAUCUCAAAUUUCAUAUAAAAUUUUCGAAUAAGAUUUUCGAUUGCCACGUAUCCAUAUUUAUUAUAAAAUUCACAUUUCACUCAUCAUACAAUUGAAAUACUUGUUCACUCAUCAUACAAUUGAAGAUAUCAAGAAAUUUCGAAAAUUGGGCAUCCACUUUGUUUUUUCGAAGACGUUGAGGGAACGGAAUUGGCGGUACAUAUGGCUUUACAAGGGCAGCAGGUUGAGAUAAUUUCUCUACAGUAGCAGGUUCAAUUUCUGGAGAAAUUUCAUCAAGUUGUGCAGUAGUUCCAGCAGUAAUAGACGACGACGACGGCACGUUAGUAAUUUCUGAUGUCUCUGCAGUUUGUUGAUGGAUAUUCUUUUCUUCAUCCAAGUCUACUGCUGUUUUUAUUGGCCUCCCAUUCCAAAGAGUUAUCGCCCUCGCAUGUUCUUGGUUUUUCGGAUUAUUCUCUGUUUGGCUUGGCAAAGCUCCAUUUACUCUUCCUGUCAAUACAUUAGCUAGCUGGCCCAUCUGAACCUCCAAGUUUCGAAUAGAGGCAGCUUGGUUCUGAAGGGUCGUCUCGGUUUUGCUCAUAAAUUGAUUUGUAUUGACAGAGAGAGUGUUGACAUUUCCAGCAAGUUGAGUAAUUAUAUCCUCCAAUCCAUGCUUCUUUUCUUGAGGUGUGAAAUCAGGUGGAGGUCCCUGUACAUUUUGGUUAUUACUCCAUGGAAAAUUCGGAUGGUUCUUCCAUCCUGGGUUAUAAGUGUUGGAGUAAGGAUUAUUCCGUUGUCGAUUAAAAUUAGAGACUUGGUUCACUUGUUCAGAUGGUGAUGUGAAUGGACUAGCUCCACACUCAUUGCCAUGAUGAGGUCCUGCACAAAAUUCACAACUUAAAUUAGUAUACUGAAUAGCAUUAACAUUUAUAGUACCAAGUUGUUUAGACAUAGUAGAAAUUUGCGCAGUUAACGCAGAUAUGGCGUCAAUCUCAUGAAUUCCAGCUUUCUUUGGUGUUGAUCUCUCACUAGGCCAUUGAUAGUUAUUUGACGCCAUCUCUUCCAGCAAGUUAUACGCUUUAGUUUCUGUUUUUCCCAUCAAAGCUCCUCCGGCUGCAGCAUCAAUUGUUGUUUUGCUUGUAUUGUUCAAACCAUUGUAGAACGCUUGAACUUGCAUCCAAGUAGGUAGGGCAUGAUGUGGGCACUUCCUUAGCAUAUCCUUGUAUCUGUCCCAUGCUUCAUAAAAAGGUUCCAUGUCAUUCUGAGCAAAUGACAUGAUGUCAUUUCUGAGUUUCGCAGUCUUUGCAGGAGGAAAGAAUUUAGCUAAAAAUUUCUUGGCCAAGUCGUCCCAUGUAGUAAUCGAAUUAGGUGGUUGAGAAUUCAACCAUGACUUUGCCUUUUCCUUUAAUGAGAAAGGAAAAAGCCUUAAGCGAACAGCAUCAUUGGUAGCUCCAUUGCGCUUAAAUGUGUCACAUAUCUCCAAGAAAUUAGAGAUAUGCCUAUUAGGGUCUUCUUGAGGUAAACCACAAAAGAUGGAGGAUUGUUGAAUCAUUGAAAUUAUGGCUGGUCUGAUUUUAAAAUUAUUGGCAUCAAUGGUUGGACGACGAAUGCUCGAUGGUGAUGCCACCACAGAUGGGACAUCAUAGUCCCUUACUGGUUUUGCUUCCACAGCCAUAGGUGAUGGCUUUUCCAAUAUUGCGUCCUUGCCCCUUUUGAGUUUGUUAAGCUUGUGAAGUGUUCGCUCGAUCUCUAGAUCUAAUGGUACAAGCACAAGACUCUGCGAACGUCUCCCAAAACUCAUGCACUAGGUGAAGUACCUAAAAAAACAAAAAACAAAAUUCAAAUUAAAAUUCAAAUCAAUCUAUAUCGAUAUUAAUAAAAUUUAAAACACUCUCCGACGGCGGCGCCAAAAACUUGUUGUGAUAUUUAUUGCAAGCGCACAAUUCGCACAAGUAAUAUAGUGAUGAGUGAAGUGUCGUUCCCACGAAGAGUGAUUUAAUUUAACAAGUACCGAUUGUGAUUAACCCAAGACUUUAUUUGAACAAUUGAUGAUGAGAUUUGAUUGAUUAAUUAACUAAAACAAUGAAUAAAAACAAGCGUAGAAAAAUAAAGUAGUGAGAUUCAAGUUAUGAGAGCACUAGAGCUUCCGAUUUCACCAUAGCCAAUUCUACCCAAUUCCUUUAGCAUGUUAAUCCUAAUUAUUCUCUAUGUUGACAGUUGAUUUUCCCUACUUUAUUCGAUACUCCAUCCCUGGUUAUACCAAAAGUAUUCUUAUUACCAACCCACUCUAUCCCUAGUAAUGGAAUUAAGAUAAUAAGAACCCAUUAAAUUCCUUGGAAAACCUACAAAACAACCACAUAAGUCAUGACAAACAUCUCUGUCUAAUCAUGUAACUCAUGACAUCUAUUACAAGAAGCAACCCCAAAUUGGAUAUUCCUAUUUUCAAUUUAGCAUCAAAACAAUUAAAUGUUGGCCAAACAUUCAAAGCAUUAAGCAUGGUAAUAAAUACUCAACAUGGAAAAAAUACUUGGAAUUAACAUCGACUAAAGUAAUUGAGCAUUCAUGGCUAGGCUACAUCGUAGCCCUAGCAAGAAGAAAUUAGUUCAUGACAACUUUAAUAAAAACCAUGAUAAAUAGUAUCAUAGGAAAGAAGUAACCAAUUGAAGAUUUGAUCUCUGCACGACAGCAACUCUAGCUCCAGGUUGUCUUCUUUGUCUCUCUAAAACUCUCUCAACAAUAGAUGAUGGGUAGAUGAUGGAGGAUGGAUGAUGGGUAAUGGAUCCUUUCAACAAUGACCUAAACUCCCUAUUUAUAAAACUCCUAGAAAUCCUACCUAAAGAAUAAUUACAAUUGUUAUAAAAAUAGGAUUCCUUCUAAAAUAAGGUCUUCUUUAUUUCUCCUUGUUUAACUUGAUAAGACUUGCACCAUCUUGAACUAGGAAAUUUGACAACAUUCCUUGCAACAAAAGGAAUGACUUGGCUUCUUUUUUUAUUGAUUUUCAUCUCCUUGCCUUUUUUAGCACACUUUCUCCUAUUUCACAAUUCCUUCACAAAUCUCACAAAACUAAUUAAAAACAACCAAUUUAAUCCAAGAAAUUAAUAAAUAAAUAAGCAAAGGAGGCAUAAAAUAUAUAUAAAAUAUAGACUUAUCAAAUACCCCCAAACCUGUCUUUUGCUAGUCCUCGAGCAAAACUGAAAAUCAAAAAUAAAUUAAAACAAACAAACUAAAUUAAACCACUUUUGCAGGUAAUCUCGAUGGCACUUAGCAUGUGCCACAAGCCUUUAAACCUCUAGGUGCCCCUAGUAGGAGGAGUUGUGUCUCUUGAGGGUUUACCAGUCAUGACACCCACAGACACUUCUUGCAAAACAAAUUCGUUAAAGCAAUACUUCCAACAAACUAAUAAUAACCAAUGAAUGCUAAUCACAAUUCAAAAACUAAAGUUAUGCCACUACAAAUAAAAUGCACCAUAGUGUAAAGUGUAAAGUGUAAAGCCAAAAAUCCAACAUUGAAACAUAAAGAUAACCACAUUAGGCGUGUGUACAAAUUCGUCUCGACUCUAGGCCUUACUGGAUAACUCUCAAUUUUCUCACAGAACCUAGGGUUGCACUCUUACCCCGCAUAUGUGAAUAAAGUUAGGUGAAGAAUUCAAAAUAUAAGACACAUAUGCAUCCAAGAAUCAAUAAAAGGAAAUUUCUAACAAUAGAUCUCAUGGAAAGGAAAUCAAAUACUAAAAACCAUAGAUGAAGUACAUACCUCUACUUCCGAGUAAGAAGUCCCCAAAAAUCCGUUAGGUCUUUACUAUGGUUGUAAUGAAGGGCUAGGUUAUGGGUUAUGAAAGAAAAGGAAGGAAAUACUAGAACUUGAGACAUGCCAAGGCAUUUAUCACGUUAUAAGGCUCGGCUCUUCAAAUUUACUUCACAGAGGCGUCCAGGAUUUUUGAUAUGCUUCACAUUUUUUUUUCUUUAAUAGAUUUCUCUUUUUUUUUUUCCUUUCUUUUUAUUUAUUUAUUUAUUUUUAAGCACAUAUUUCCUCGGUACACGCCACCUCUUUUGUUAAUUUAGAGAUUAACCUUCAUCCUUGUCUUCAUGCCAUGGCAUAUCCCAAGUUAUAGGGUAUGGCUAAAAAUAGGGUGAAAAGGGUAAGAAAAUAUUGUGGGUGAUGAAAGAAAAGGCUAAGUGUUUGGCUUCAAAGGGUUGAUGGCACACACAAUGGGUAGGACAUGAGUUUUUAUUUAGUGGCUAGAACAUGCAUAGCCUAACAUCAUUUCUCAAGGUCCAUCCAACUCAAAAGUAAAAGCAUGAGAUGAUUCCAAAAUAGAGAGUAGUUCUUAGUAUUCAACUCAAAAGCCUAAUUGAGAUCAAUUUAAAUAAGAAAGAAAGAAAAUAGUGAAUAAGACUAAUCCCAAAUACUCUCUCAAUGAAUGGCAAUUUGGCUCAAGUAUCUCACAAUGGUAGUCUCCACUAUUUCUCCACAAUCAUCCAAGUAUAGCUAGCUUGUCUAUUAAAAUACUUGAAGCAUGGCCAUGUGAAGUGCUAUACUUAUGAUGCAUAAACUUUCAUGGCAACACUUUAGUUAAAGAAAUAUGAUCAAACAUCACAUAUACAUCACUAUUAGUAAGAGAAAGUAAAAGCUUUAACAAAUUUUUUUUUUUUUUUUAAAAAGUUAAAGGCAUUUUGUGAUUUUUUUCAAACAAAUGUGAGUGAAUUUAUGGGCCAUAAUUGCUUAGGGAUAAAGAAAUUUCAUCAAAAGGAAGAGGACACACCUGGAAUAGCUCCUAGAAACCUCUGAUCACAAAUGGAAUGGAUCAUAAUUGAUUUGGAAUGAAAUUAGAAAAUUCUGGAAAAUUGACCUUUAGCGACGAAAAAUCUGAUGAAACACCGUCGCUAAAAACCCUUUUGUGACGAAAAAUCUUCAUAUUCUGGGUAGGUAGCAGCUAGUCUUUUUUGGGUUUUAGGCCACUUUUUUAGCUUCAAAUCUCCCUAAAACGUCAUGUAAAGCACUUGAGACCCCCAAAACAGUUUCAAAUCAUCAUAAUAACCAUUCUAAACAUGUUGGUGGCUUCAAAUUUGCCUGAAAAACAUCAAAAAGGAAAAUAUGUAAAAUUUUUAAUUUUGACCAAAAUAAGAACAUAAUAACCUAUUUUGCUAUUUUCUGGGUUUUAAAGUCAUCUAAUGGCCAAAACAACAUCUGGAACAUGUUUGCAAUCAUCACGGGGCUAGAAAAAAUCGAGAAAUGUUCUUUGAAACACAAAAUCCUUUCUUUGGAACACAAAAUCUUUUUUUCUUUUUUUUUUCUUUAUGACUCAAAACUCAAACAAAAAACAACUAAACUCCACACCCCCAAAUCUAAAUUAAGCAUUGUCCUCAAUGUUUAAAGUAAAUGCAUGUAAAAAUUAGUAAAGGCAUAGAAGGAUGGAAAAUAAAGGGAAAACAAAACAAAAUAAAAUAAAAAGGAACGAAGGUACCUAGUUGGGUUGCCUCCCAACAAGCGCUUGAUUUAUAGUCCCCAGCCCGACUUGCGAGGUCAUCACUUUGGAUCAUGUAGAGGAAUGAAAGUUCGCUGUUGAUCAAAAUUGACUUCCAAGUAUGGCUUCACUCAUUGGCCAUUUACUUUGAAAAUAGUACCUUGUUCGUCAUGCCUAACCUCAAUAACUCCAGAAGGAAAUACUUGCACUAUUGUAAAUGGUCCAGACCAACGUGAUUUCAACUUCCCGGGAAAGAGUCGGAGGCGGGAAUUAAAUAGGAGAACUUUCUAACCAGCGAAGAAAUCCUUCCUUAGAAUAUGCUUAUCAUGCCAUUUCUUUGUACGCUCCUUGUAUAUCUUGGAAGUCUCAUAAGCUUCAUUACAAAACUCAUCCAUAUCAUUCAAUUGAAUUGCCCGUUUUUCUCCUGCUGCAAUCAUGUCAAAAUUGAGUGUUUGGAGUGCCCAAUGUGCCUUAUGUUCGAGCUCAACCGGUAAGUGACAAGCUUUCCCAAAAACUAGACGAUAAGGAGACAUGCCAAUUGGUGUUUUGAACUCCGUUCGAUAGGCACAUAAGGCAUCAUCCAAUUUCAGUGACCAAUCCUUUCUUGAAGCACUCACCGUCUUUUCCAAAAUUCGUUUUAAUUCUCUAUUGGAAACUUCAACUUGUCCACUAGUUUGUGGAUGAUAGGGAGUAGUAACCUUGUGGGUAAUACCAUAUUUAGCUAAAAGAUAAUUAAAUUGACGAUUGCAAAAGUGUGUACCUCUGUCACUGAUGAUGCCACGCGGAGUCCCGAAUCUGGUGAAAAUAUUUUUUUGGACAAAUUUGACAACCACCUUGGCGUCAUUGGUAGGGAGAGCGACGGCUUCAACCCAUUUCGACACAUAAUCAACAGCCACCAAUAUGUACUUGUUCUUCCAAGAUUCAGGGAAAGGUCCCAUGAAAUCUAUUCCCCAGACAUCGAACAAUUCAACCUCUAGAAUAUUAUUCAAUGGCAUCUGAUUUCUGCUAGAAAUAUUUUCAGUGCGUUGGCAUCGAUCACAGGCAGCUACAAAUGCAUAGGCAUCCUUGAACAAAGUUGGCCAAAAAAAUCCAGAUUGUAAUACCUUGGCUGCUGUUUUGGAGGCACCAAAAUGCCCCCCACAUGCCAAUGUGUGGCAAUGUCGCAAUAUGUCUUCCAUCUCCUCCUCAGGCACACAUCUCCGUAUAACUUGGUCAGGGCAAUGUUUCCACAAAUAUGGGUCGUCCCAAUAAUAAUGUUUAACCAAGGAGAAAAACUUCUUCUUCUGAUGAAACGAUAAAUCAGCUGGAAUGAUAGUACUAGCUAAAUAAUUCACAAAGUCAGCGUACCAAGGAGCUUCGGAUGAUCGAAUGGCAUACAAGUGUUCAUCAGGGAACAUCUCCAUAAUGGGUGCAGCAUCAUCACUCAUCUUUACCUCACUGACCAGCCGCGAAAGAUGGUCAGCUACCACGUUUUCGGACCCCUUUUUGUCUCGAAUUUCAAGAUCAAAUUCUUGGAGCAGUAGUACCCAGCGAAUUAAUCGUGGUUUUGCAUCUUUCUUCGAAAGUAAAUACUUUUAUCCAAGGAGAAGAUUACUACUAACAAUUCUUUCUCCGUGGUGGUAUAAUUCCGCUGGGCGUCAUUCAAAGUACGACUGGCAUAAUAAAUUACAUGAAGUAAUUUAUUUCUUCUUUGACCCAAAACUGCCCCUACCGCAUAGUCACUAGCAUCACACAUAAUCUCAAAAGGCAAGUCCUAAUCCGGUGCGACAAUGACAGGUGCAGAAGUAAGCUUCUCUUUCAAGACAUUAAAAUUAAAUUCUACAUCUUUAAGAAGGAGAUUGCAUAAGGGCUUCGUGAUUUUGGAAAAAUCUUGGAUAAACCGCCGAUAAAAUCCAGCAUGACCCAGAAAGCUUUGAAUCCCCUUUAUUGUAGUGGGCGGUGGCAAUUUCUCUACGGUAUCAAUUUUUGCCUUAUCAACCUCUAUGCCUUUAGCUGAAAUUUUAUGCCCUAGGACUAUCCCUUCUUGCACCAUAAAAUGGCAUUUCUCCCAAUUCAAAACCAAAUUGGUUUCUUCACAUCUUUUCAAAACUAAUGCCAAAUUAUGUAAACAAGAAUCAAAUGAUGAGCCAAAAACAGAAAAGUCAUCCAUAAAAACCUCAAUGAAGCGCUCCACCAUGUCCGAAAAGAUGCUCAUCAUGCAACGUUGAAAGGUGGCAGGGGCGUUACACAACCUGAAAGGCAUGCGCCUGUAUGCAAAAGUGCCGAAUGGGCAUGUGAACGUCGUCUUUUCUUGAUCUUCAGGUGCAAUUGGAAUUUGAUUAUACCCAGAAUAUCCAUCUAAAAAACAAUAAUAUGAAUGCUCAGCAAGUCUUUCCAACAUCUGAUCAAUGAAAGACAAGGGAAAGUGAUCUUUCCUUGUCGCAGUGUUCAAUUUCCUGUAGUCUAUGCAGACAUGCCAUCCUGUAGUUGUUCUUGUCGGGAUCAACUCAUUCUUAUCAUUUUUCACCACUGUAAUACCCCCUUUUUUCGGUAGGACUUGAACUGGACUCACCCAACUACUAUCUGAAAUCGGGUAAAUUAUUCCAGCAUCUAAUAACUUUAAUAUUUCAGCUCGCACAACUUCUUUCAUAUUCGGAUUUAAUCGACGCUGAUGCUCAACUGAAGGUUUAAAAUCAUCUUCCAUCAGAAUACGGUGCAUACACAUGGAACGGCUAAGUCCCUUAAUAUCUGCAAUAGUCCACCCUAUUGUCGUUUUAUGCUCCCUCAAAACUCAUAGUAAUUUAUCUUCUUCUAGUUUACUCAAAUUUGCAGCAAUAAUCACAGGAAGAGUUUCAAAAUUACCCAAGUAUGCAUAUCUUAAGUGGGAAGGUAGGGGCUUCAAUGUGAGGGUUGGUGCAGUAAUGACACUGGGUUGUGGCUUGGAGGUUGUGACGCUAAGCUCCUCAAAUUCGCGCCACCUUCCAGGGGGGCGCGGUUUCAUUGCUUCCAAAAAGUACACCAUCUCAGAAAUUUUAGGAUCCUCAUGCUCAGUAGUAACGGAAUGCACAAGGCAAGCCUUCAAUGGAUCAUAUGGAUGUUCUUCUUUAAAUUUUUCAGAGACAACUUUUUCCACUAUAUCCACUCGGAAGCAAGAGUCUGAUUCCACUGGGUACUUUGUUGCUUCAAAGACAUUGAAGGUCACCUGCUCAUCAGCCACUCGCAAAAUUAAUAAACCUUUGUCCACAUCAAUUAAUGUCUUCCCGGUUUUUAGAAAGGGGCGGCCUAAGAUAAUAGGGGUUUCGGCAUCUUCUUCCAUGUCUAAAAUCAAAAAAUCUGCUGGAAAAAUGAGCUUAUCAACUUUGACUAACACAUCCUCAAUUAUGCCUUUGGGAUAUGUUAUGGACCUGUCCCCCAUCUGCAAAGAAACAGUGGUUGGGUGAAUUACCCCCAACCCAAUAUGUUUAGCAAUAGAAGAAGGCAUUAGAUUAAUACUGGAUCCUAAAUCACAUAAAGCUUUUUCAAAGUAAGUGGUUCCAAUAGUGCAAGGUAUAGUAAAACUCCCUGGAUCCUUUAGCUUAGGUGGUAGCUUCCUCUGCAAAAUAGCACUGCAUUCUUCGGAUAAUUUCACUAUCUCAUGUUCGCCCAAUUUCCUCUUCUUUGAUAUAAUAUCCUUCAUGAAUUUGGCAUAACUCGGCAUUUGCUCCAAAGCAUCGGCAAAAGGAAUAUUUAUUUGUAAUUUCUUGAAGAUAUCAAGAAAUUUCAAAAAUUGGGCAUCCACUUUGUUUUUUCGAAGACGUUGAGGGAACGGGAUUGGCGGUACAUAUGGCUUUACAAGGGCAGCAGGUUGAGAUAAUUUCUCUACAGUAGCAAGUUCAAUUUCUGGAGACAUUUCAUCAAGUUGUGCAGUAGUUCCAGUAGUGAUAGACGACGACGACGGCACGUUAGUAAUUUCUGAUGUCUCUGCAGUUUGUUGAUGGAUAUUAUUUUCUUCAUCCAAGUCUACUGCUGUUUUUAUUGGCCUCCCAUUCCGAAGAGUUAUCGCCUCCGCAUGUUCUUAGUUUUUUGGAUUAAUCUCUGUUUGGCUUGGCAAAGCUCCAUUUACUCUUCCUGUCAAUACAUUAGCUAGCUGGCCCAUCUAAACCUCCAAGUUUCGAAUAGAGGCAGCUUGGUUCUGAAGGGUCGUCUCGGUUUUGCUCAUAAAUUGAUUUGUAUUGACAGAGAGAGUGUUGACAUUUCCAGCAAGUUGAGUUAUUAUAUCCUCCAAUCCAUGCUUCUUUUCUUGAGGUGUGAAACCAGGUGGAGGUCCCUGUACAUUUUGGUUAUUACUCCAUGAAAAAUUCGGAUGGUUCUUCCAUCCUGGGUUAUAAGUGUUGGAGUAAGGAUUAUUCCGUUGUCGAUUAAAAUCAGAGACUUGAUUCACUUGUUCAGAUGUUGAUGUGAAUGGACUAGCUCCACACUCGUUGCCAUGAUGAGGUCCUGCACAAAAUUCACAACUUAAAUUAGUAGACUGAAUAGCAUUAACAUUUAAAAUACCAAGUUGUUUAGACAUAGUAGAAAUUUGUGCAGUUAACGCAGAUAUGGCGUCAAUCUCAUGAAUUCCAGCUUUCUUUGGUGUUGAUCUCUCACUAGGCCAUUGAUAGUUAUCUGACGCCAUCUCUUCCAGCAAGUUAUACGCUUUAGUUUCUGUUCUUCCCAUCAAAGCUCCUCCGGCUGCAGCAUCAAUUGUUGUUUUGCUUGUAUUGUUCAAACCAUUGUAGAACGCUUGAACUUGCAUCCAAGUAGGUAGGGCAUGAUGUGGGCACUUCCUUAGCAUAUCCUUGUAUCUGUCCCAUGCUUCAUAAAAAGGUUCCAUGUCAUUCUGAGCAAAUGACAUGAUGUCAUUCCUGAGUUUCGCAGUCUUUGCAAGAGGAAAGAAUUUAGCUAAAAAUUUAUUGGCCAAGUCGUCCUAUGUAGUAAUCGAAUUAGGUGGUUGAGAAUUCAACCACGACUUUGCCUUUUCCUUUAAUGAGAAAGGAAAAAGCCUUAAGCGAACAACAUCAUUGGUAGCUCCAUUGCACUUAAAUAUGUCACAUAUCUCCAAGAAAUUAGAGAUAUGGCUAUUAGGGUCUUCUUGAGGUAAACCACAAAAGAUGGAGGAUUGCUGAAUCAUUGAAAUUAUGGCUGGUUUGAUUUCAAAAUUAUUGGCAUCAAUGGUUGGACGACGAAUGCUCGAUGGUGAUGCCACCACAGAUGAGACAUCAUAGUCCCUUACUGGUUUUGCUUCCUCAGCCAUAGGUGAUGGCUUUUCCAAUAUUGCGUCCUUGCCCCUUUUGAGUUUGUUAAGCUUGUGAAGCGUUCGCUCGAUCUCUAGAUCUAAUGGUACAAGCACAAGACUCUGCGAACGUCUCCCAAAACUCAUGCACUAGGUGAAGUACCUAAAAAAACAAAAAACAAAAUUCAAAUUAAAAAAAUUCAAAUUAAAAUCCAAAUCAAUCUAUAUCGAUAUUAAUAAAAUUUAAAACACUCCCCGACGGGGGUGCCAAAAACUUGUUGUGAUAUUUAUUGCAAGCGCACAAUUCGCACAAGUAAUAUAGUGAUGACUGAAGUGUCGUUCCCACGAAGAGUGAUUUAAUUUACCAAGUACCGAUUGUGAUUAACCCAAGACUUUAUUUGAACAAUUGAUGAUGAGAUUUGAUUGAUUAAUUAACUAAAACAAUGAAUAAAAACAAGCGUAGAAAAAUAAAGUAGUGAGAUUCAAGUUAUGAGAGCACUAGAGCUUCCGAUUUCACCAUAGCCAAUUCUACCCAAUUCCCUUAGCAUGUUAAUCCUAAUUAUUCUCUAUGUUGACAGUUGAUUUUCCCUACUUUAUUCGAUACUCCAUCCCUGGUUAUAUCAAAAGUAUUCUCAUUACCAACCCACUCUAUCCAUAGUAAUGGAAUUAAGAUAAUAAGAACCCAUUAAAUUCCUUGGAAAACCUACAAAACAACCACAUAAGUCAUGACAAACAUCCCUGUCUAAUCAUGUAACUCAUGGCAUCUAUUACAAGAAGCAACCCCAAAUUGGAUAUUCCUAUCGUCAAUUUAGCAUCAAAACAAUUAAAUGUUGGCCAAACAUUCAAAGCAUUAAGCAUGGUAAUAAAUACUCAAGAUGGAAAAAAUACUUGGAAUUAACAUCGACUAAAGUAAUUGAGUAUUCAUGGCUAGGCUACAUCGUAGCCCUAGCAAGAAGAAAUUAGUUCAUGACAACUUUAAUAAAAACCAUGAUAAAUAGUAUCAUAGGAAAGAAGUAACCAAUUGAAGAUUUGAUCUCUGCACGACAGCAACUCUAGCUCCAGGUUGUCUUCUUUGUCUCUCUAAAACUCUCUCAACAAUAGAUGAUGGGUAGAUGAUGGAGGAUGGAUGAUGGGUAAUGGAUCCUUUCAACAAUGACCUAAACUCCCUAUUUAUAAAACUCCUAGAAAUCCUACCUAAGGAAUAAUUACAAUUGUUAUAAAAAUAGGAUUCCUUCUAAAAUAAGGUCUUCUUUAUUUCUUCUUGUUUGACUUGAUAAGACUUGCACCAUCUUGAACUAGGAAAUUUGACAACAUUCCUUGCAACAAAAGGAAUGACUUGGCUUCUUUUUAAUUGAUCUUCAUCUCCUUGCCUUUUUUAGCACAUUUUCUCCUAUUUCACAAUUCCUUCACAAAUCUCACAAAACCAAUUAAAAACAACCAAUUUAAUCUAAAAAAUUAAUAAAUAAAUAAACAAAGGAGGCAUAAAAUAUAUAUAUAUAAAAUAUAGACUUAUCACUAUAUAUAUAUUCUUUACAAAAAUUUAAAGCUCCUUAAAGCCCAUAGAAACCGGUAAAGUCACAGUUUUUUUGACUUUUGAAUAUGGGCAAUACACGAGAAGAUGGACAGUAUUUUGAUAACUCUGUUUAGACUAAAAGCUAAGGACUGUCUAUUAACAAAUAAUUCCAACAUGCAACCUUUUUAAUUAGUCUACUUCCUGAUUGCAGAUGGGGAAGAACUCCACUUAAUGAAGCCCGCAUAGGUGGAAAUAAGAAACUAAUCAAACUGUUUGAAGUUGCUAGAACUUUGUAGUUGUCAGAGUUAUCUAAUCAAUAUCAUCAAGAAAUUAGCUAGCUAAGCAUUUCUCUGAUCAAAAUGAUAAAUUGUCGAUCGGCAAUACAUUUAUCCUUUGAUUAAAUGAUAAAUGUUUAUAAGACUUGGAACAAAAGUUCUGAGAUGUUAUAUGUGUGAAUUUUGUUAGAAUCUUUAAUUCUCUUUUCGAUUUUCUAAUAUGCGUACCUUGGAAAAUAUGAAUUGAACUAUUAUUAUUGUUGAUCUGACUUGGCAAUUCUCAGCGUCAAUUAUUCUUACUAGGCUUGUAAUAAUCAAGGAUCGAGUAAUUAAUUAAUUAAAGCUCUUGAAUCAUGGAAGUAAUGCAUGAAUGCAUCAAGUAAUCCGGAUCAGAAUAGUAAAACCAAAGAAGCACAACUUUUAUUCCCGCAGAUAGUCUUAGCCUAGGUUACAUAAAUUAAUGCAUGAAUGCAUGAGCAGCAGCUGCAUGCAAUAUUAUUGAACCCAAAUCACAACAAAAGGAAAACUUAAGACAAUGCCACUUUCGCAGGGAACGCGAUUGCAUUUAGCGUAUGCAACAAGCCUUUUAAACCUAUAGGUGACCCUGAUAGGACGAGUGAAGUCUCGUGAGGGUUUCCAGUGACGCUACCCACAAACAUCGUAUUAACUUAACAGGAUGAUCAUCCUGGAAGUUUUUCGACAAUGAAGAAAUGUUCAUGGGUGGGGCCUCCAGGUUCUGCAAUGAGGGCAUUUUCGAACUCGUUUCCAGAUUUUGGCUUUAAAAGGUUUCCCAUUUUCUCAUGGUGGAACUUGUAUAUGCCUUCGGUGUACGGUCCUGGUGGUUUCACAACCUCAGGCUUGAAGAGUGUACAUGACCACAGCGUUUUAUUUGGCUGUUUCUCGUCAGCCCCGGCCACAAUCCACGAACUGUCUUGGCUUGCCGUUAUCCAGUAUUUGUCGUUGUAGGUGGAUUUUAUAUGCACCAGACUGGGGAGGUUUACGUCCUUCUCCACUUUGAACCUUGCGUAUUUGCUCUGAACAUCCUCUCCGGAGCAUUGGAGAAUAUCUUGCAUCUUUUCGGUGGCUUGGUCUUUGUAGACCAAGUAUUUACCGCUCGUGAAUGAUUUAAGAGCAAUGAACUUUGGUAAUUCUGCCAUUUCUGAUGAUCUCUCGCUCGCGCUUCAAUUUUUUUUUAUGUAAACUCACUUCUCUCUCUCUCUCUCGUUGCUUAUUGCUUUUCCUAACUCCAACCUGCUGUGCUAUUUAUAAUCAAGCAAACCCAAACCCUGCAUGCAGCUCUGGCUUCUUUUUCUUGCUGUACUGGCCCGCGAUAAGAAAAUUGAAGCCACAAAAAAAAAAAGUCGAGCCAGGUGGCAGUUUUGAAAGGUCAAGUAAUAUUGUUCUUGAUAUAAAACAAACUAAAGCGUGCUCCACGUCUUCAAAUAAAACAAAGUUAAGGCUAGUAAUUAUCGACAUCGAUAUUUUGCGAUAUUAUCGUCGAUAUUGUCAAUAUUUAUACGAUAUGUACAUGGAUAUGUUUCGAAAUAUCCGUGAUUCAAAAAAACCGAAAUAUCCUCGAUAUUUCCUCGAUAUUAUCGAUAUUUCAGACUAUGAUGUGAACUUGAUUAUGUAAUUUCUACUACAUGCACUUAUGGGACAUAACCAUUUAUCAAUUAUAAUAAUGUCACAUAAAAAUUGAAGCCACAAAAAAAAAAAAGUCAAGCCAGGUGGCAGUUUUGAAAGGUCAAGUAAUAAUGUUCUUGAUAUAAAACAAACUAAAGCGUGCUUCACGUCUUCAAAUAAAACAAAGUUAAGCCUAGUAAUCUAUUCUCUGUUGUAAUGUGAACUUGAUUAUGUAAUUUCUACUACAUGCACUUAUGGACAUAACCAUUUAUCAAUUAUAAUAAUGUCAUCGACUAGGACUGAACAGCGACGGCUGAAGGCCCAGCUCAUUCUUAAUCUUAGGCAACACAUGUGCUGGGUUUCAUUUCAUAAAUUCAUAACCAAACCAAGCUAGGUCAUAGAAGGAAGCAAAUUAAGCAAUUGAAAUCCACAUCGGCUGAAAAAAUCUCUCUUGAAAAACCAUAUAAUUGGAGGGUCUGCAAAACUAGACUGUGUGUACGUAGCCAACUUUAUUAAAAUGCCAAUUCAAGUCCUAUGAACACACAUUUCCUUGAAAGUUGCUGGCCAAAUUUUCUUUGUUUUGGUUUUCAAUGAGUUCGAUUUCCUUGAGCAUCACUGAAAAGAUAUUAUAUAUGUGAAAUCUUUUUGUCAGUCUUUGAAUUUACCCAAUGUGGGUGAUCAAUUUUUAUGAUUGCAUUCUAGACUUCUCCUUAGUACAAAACAAAACUACGUGAUUGAUUGAAACGUCAUUAAUUAAUUUAGACAUAUAGGCAUUUGCAUUAAUUCAUUCUAGAUAGUAGAUACACAUCUCCAUAACGCAGAAAGAAUUAGCAUGUCCUUAAUGUGAACUUCGUUAAUAAAUUGAAGAGGAGUUGGAGAACAGUUAGAUGAAUGAAUUAAAGAGGAGUUGGAGAGACGCGGAUGCAAGGGCACACUAAGAAAACUACAGGGUUUAUUUAUAGUUUUAGUGCUAAUAAUGGGUAUAUGACUAAAUAUCUCUAUAAAAAAAAUUAGUGAAUUUAAUCAGAAUGUAAUGACUUAUAGAAUUUUACCUUGGGGCACUUUAAGUCCGUUCCUCCUUAAUAAAGCAUCACUUAAUAGAUUUGAAUUAUGAGCUGAACCCUCCCACCCGCUAAAAACGUAAAUGAAUUCUAAAUCAAAGUUACAAGCUACUGAAACCAUUUAUCAAUUAUAAUUAUGUCAUUAAUUAGGAUUGAACAAUAUGAUUGUAAUGCCAUUUCUAAAGCGUGCUUCACGUCUUCAAAUAAAACAAAGUUAGGCCUAGUAUUUUCUUCUUUAUUGUUUCGGUGCUUAAUGUGAACUUCAUUAUGUAACUUCUAUUACUUGUACUUAAGGGCCAUAGCCAUUUAUCAAAUUAUAAUGAUGUCAUUAAUUAGGAUUGAACAACAAGGUCGUUGAGAUGUUUACAUACUUUAAUUACAGACAUAUGAUAAGUUUAGGAGAGUGAUAUGUAGUUUCAAUUAUUCCUUUCACACAUACCCUAAACUUUAAACCCUAAACCCCUUUCUCUUAAGCAAAAUCUAUCGGUUUUGGGUAAGUUUGAGACACUUGUGGACGAUUGUUUUUAAUUUGGACCCUAUGAAAAUACCUGUAGGAUGUCUAUAUAAAUACCUAGAGAAGGUUAAAUAGGCUAAUUCGAUUUUUGCAAUGAAUAAUAAUCAACUUUUGAAGUAGGAUUGAUAUGAGUUAUCAAUCCUGAAAUGUGCAGAGCUUAAAAUAAAAGAACACACAGAUAUUUAUUUUACGUGGUAAAACCCCACAUCUGGGGAAAAUCCACGGGACUCCUUAGUCCAGAACGAAUCCACUAUAGAAUUGAGAUUACAAGAAGUUCUCACACACACUUAUCCUAGACUCAAUCUAGAUAAUGUUUACCGACUUAUUCAUAACUCAACUUUUGUCAUGGGAUGAUCUUCGACACUCCUUAUGUUGAGCGCAAUAUUGGUCACGAUUGCUUCAAGCUCACCGGAGGAUAAACGCCACAAACGUCUUGAUGCCCUUGACCGUAUGAGUCACUGACAUGCAUAUGUAUGCAAUAUAAAUGAUGAAUGAGUUCGAUAAAUCACCAAGCAACCAGGAGCCCUUGAUGACUUACCGAGAAAAAUAAGUACAGUAGCUUUUCCAAAAAACAGAUUCAAUAUGCUCUCAAAAUCAAUGCGUUGAAAAGCUACACUAUGAAAAGAAGACACCUUGGUUUUAUUCAAAACAGGUUCUCUCACUCAAGAGAAACCUACGUGACCACCAAUCCAAUUCACGAAAGACUUUCAACCUUAUUCAACUACCACACAACAAAACCUGAUGCAAUAUGGACACUAGUUAAACAUGUCAAACAGGAGACCACUCAUACUGUUGAAGCAUGAAUGUUUCUUUUGAUUCAAUUUACAUGCUAUGUGAUGAUGCCAGCUAAUGCACGAUGUGAGGAAACCUCAUGACUUUCUACUACAGCCAAUCCUUUAAAACAAUAUCUACCUAACAAAUUAAUUAGACCGAUCAAGUAGGAAAUAAUAUCAAGAGAUAAAAUAUAAUCCUAUUGAAAAUAGGAUUAACAUAAAAAUACUUGAGUGAAAAUAAUUCCAACUAGGAGUCCUAUAAUGAAUGCAUAAUUAUGUUAUGAUUUACCUGUUGUCAAGUUUCUCAUAUGGUCAGGUCAUGCCUCGGAAGUAUAGGGUUGAGAGAGUUGUGCCAAAGCGUCCAGUAACAUUUCCUCACAAACUAAUUUUCAACUUAUGCUAAAGUCUAGGAAAUGCCAAUACGAUUUUCGUACUAACACCCUACAAACAAAUAAAUUAAAGAAAAAAAAAGUAAAAGAAGAAAAGAAUAUAAAUUCAUAUAUCUCAAUUUCUUGUGUGAAGCUUUUAAAUUCAUUUCAAAAUUAAUAUUAAAAUUUAUUUGUUUUGGUUUUCAAUAAGAUUAAGUUGGAUUUCCUAGAGCAUCAUCACUGAUCUGAUGGCAUCAGAUAAGUCUUUGAAUUACCUAAUGUGAUUGAUUGAUUGGAAUGUAUCCUUAAUACUAAAAAAAAACCAUGUGAUUGAUCGACACGUCAUUGAGCACUUCCACUCUAUCGGCAAGGGCAAGGCAAGAGCAAGAGUUUAGGAUAAGAUUUUUGGUUGCCACUUGUCCAUAUUUAUUAUAACAUUCACAUCUCAAAUUUCAUAUAAAAUUUUCGAAUAAGAUUUUCGAUUGCCACGUAUCCAUAUUUAUUAUAAAAUUCACAUUUCACUCAUCAUACAAUUGAAAUACUUGUUCACUCAUCAUACAAUUGAAAUACUCCUGGUCUUCAUAGUUCGACACAAUCGAGUACAAGGAUGACUCAAUCAUUGGAGGAGGAGAUUCCACCGGAUCACGACGUGGGGGAGUAUUUUCCUUCGAAGGAAGUAAUUGUGCCAUUAUUUUCGACACGGAAAGCACCACUAGAACCGACUACUGACAUUGUUCACUUAAGGAGCCAUGUGUAAUGGUUUUCCUCUUUUUUGUUUUGUCUUGAAUAAUGUAUUAAAAUACAAGAAAAUAUAUUUUUAAAAAUGAUAUUAAAUUGAAUAAAACGAUAAAUUUAUUUUUUUUACAUCGUCACCAAGAUUUUGACCGCUUUGAACGUUUGUCCACGACCAUCCGGUUUCGAUGGAAGAGGCCAUUUGUAUUUUUACACAAAUAAAAUUUUGUAGUAGAAAAUUUGGUGUGGAAAGUGAAAAAUAUUGGAAGGAGAUGAAUUUAUAUGAAGAUUUAGUGUGGAAAGUGAAUAAUAUUGGUAGGUAUUUAUGGAAAAAAAUUCUAGAAUUUUUUGAUAUUUUUUUUACAGCUUUUUUUAGCCAUAAAAUGGGCAACCGUUGAAUUGGAAGACAUUUUUGGAUCGGAGCCUUCAGGAGAAGCUAUGUGCUUGUAGCUGUUGGUUUCUGGCAGUGCUAAUUUUUUUAAAUUAUUGCGCUGACGUUAGCUGCAUGAAAGCAAUACAACGGGCCAGAUCUCCCCAUAGGUCCCACUCCUUACCCGAGCUGGGUCUUGCACGCUGGAACUGCCUUUCAAACCUAGAGCACCCUCCUACCUGGGCUAGCCCCUUGCCCUGGACUUGCUCUAAGACAGAAGAAUUAGCAUGUCCUUAUUAUGUAAACUUCAUUAAUAAAUUUCUACUUUGUACUUGUGGAGGCCCAUAGGAAUUUAUGAAUUAGGAUUGAGAAACAAAGGUUCAAGGGAUUGUUCCAGCUAAUCUUUACCAUAAUAAUAAUAAUAAUAAUUGUUCAGGCCGGCAGCUAAUAAUUAAGUUGGCAUUUUUUUAAGUUUUUUUUUGUCCGGCCAAUAAUAUUAUUUUGGGCCCAAAAUGAAGUAAAGGACUAAAUGUAAAUACAGAAUUGGAAUGUGCUUUUGGGCCUUUUAAGUGGCAUAGGUGGAUCAUAAUAUUGAAGUAGCCCAAACUGUUGAUUUUGGGCGAGUGAACCGGUUCCGAAACCAUGGCCGAUCCUCUCAGUCUUCUUUGCUUUAGCAACUUAUGCUUUGCUUGCUUGGUGAUUAAGCCUAACUAAGGCAAAGCGGCAGCCAGAGCAGCAUCAUUCAGAUUCAGAAGAAGUAGCAAGUAAUUAAGUAAGCUUCAGCCUCACAAACAAAUAUCAAAGCGAAGCAAUCGAAUUUGACAAAGAGAGAGAGAGAAACAGUGAGAGAUCGCGAAAUGGCGUUGCAGUGGAUGAUACUGACGUACGUGGUGGCAGCAGAGGCAGCCUUGGCCUUCCUCUUAACCCUUCCCGCGCCCAAGCUCUUGAAGAAUCAAUUCGUGUCGUUGGUCUCUCUCAUCCUCCAACCUGCCCUCUUUAUCGUUCCAUUCGCCGGCUUUCAGCUCCUUGGUUUGUUUCUUCUUCUUAUUUGAUUUUAUUUUAUUUUAUUCCUAGGGCAUACCAUACCAUAGCAACAAUCUAGCAUCGGAUUUUCCAUUUGAUCUUUUUUACCUGUUUGGGUAAUGGAUUACCAAUUGAUCUUUGACUUGCCUCUUUCUUACUUUCUCUUUUCUUUUAAAUUCUGUGUAGAUAUAUAUUGGAAGAAUGAGCACCGCCUGUCCUGCACCUCUGAGAUCUGCACCGCUGCUGAGCGUGACCGCUAUGAGAAAUCCGUCAGUUUCUAACUACUACUCUCUCUCUCUCUCUCUCGUUUUAAUUUCUUAUGUGAUUCUAAUCUUUAAUCAAGUUGAUGAUGCCUGCAACUCUUCAGCAUGCUAAAAUGAAUUUAUCAAAAAUGAAAUCAUAUAACAAAAGGAAAAUUACAUUUUGAGCAACAACUGAUGUCUCCAAUUUCCAUUCACUAUACUGUUUAACAAAUUUAUUAUAGAAUAACAGCAUUACAAAUUCAUAUUUAUUUUUCUCAAAAUCAUAAUGCCCAAUGACACGCAUACCUGUUUCUUAAUUUUGUCGUCUAAAAUUCUUGCAUAUUCGGCAUUGGAUUGUCUCGUUUCUUCGACUUUUCUUUAGGAUGGUAUCUUGAAUCUUGAAGUUUCUCAUAAUUAUUUCUGUCUUUAUGUAUUGAAAAUUUUCUGCUCUUUAUUAUCUUUAAGAUUUUCUUUGUUUUUGGGUAUUUGCGGAUGAGGGUGAAACAAGGAUUUGUGCUUGUGGAAAUAUUCUGGUAGGAUAUCAAUUGAGUGUAUUUGGAAUAUACUCUCUACUUUUGCGCUGUACAUUUCAUGAAAAACAUGAUAUGUGGUUCAGUUCUUAUAUGUUGCAAGUUGCAGCAUAUGUAGCUGUGGGAUGUCUAAUGAUUGCACAAUGAGCCCUCUGCCAAUCAAGAGAAAUGGAAGAUUCAAGUUCUAUCUACAUAUAUAUACCUUUAAAUUCUAUUAUUCUUGACACCUUUGUUGCGGAAAAUAUGUCAUGCAGAUCUACAAGGCUCAAAGGAAUGUAAUUCUUUGCGCUUCAGCAUGUCUGCUUUACUGGUAUGUUGGCUAGAGAUCAUCAAAUGACCUCAUCUUUUUGUUUUAUUUCUUUACAAGUUUAAGCAAAUAAAAAACUUGAAGGUCUUUACUAUAUUUCUGGUCAUUUGAUAGUAAUCUACAAAUGUUGGGCGCAGGUGUCUUGUUCGCAUAUGCAAAUAUUACAAGGACAUUCAGAAUUUGGAAGAAGUUGAGAAGAGGUGCAAGGAGGAGUAGCUUUUCCCAGAUAGGCUUUUGUUUGGGAGUAGAAACAACCGAGUUCAUAAAUUUUUUUUUCAUCAUAAAUGGGAAACCGAUGUGACUUCUAGUAAUAUUGUAGUGUCUUCACUUUGUGUGGUUAAUUUGUUAGUCAUCAUCUAGUAUGUGUUUCUUUCACCUUUUUCUCGUAGCAAGCUCAAAUAUACUUUUUGUUGUCAACUAUAUAUGAAAAGUAAGACAAUUAUUAUUACUGCUUAGAGAUUUGGCCAUGGCCGGUCUAUUUAUCCUUGAUUGAAUAUAUGAAUUCCAAUCUCCCUUGAUUUGUUGAGAAUCAAGGAUGGUUGCGUGCCAUGAAUUCCAAGCGUGAGUUGAGAUACUUAACCCAGCCUAGAAUGUGCGAGCCUUUACAUGGUCUUCAUUUCAUUGGCGUAUGUUUUGCUUCAAGUUUUGUUUAUACUUGAUCUUAGAUUCAUAGUCGUACAUACCAAAGAAUUCAAUAGUUGAAAUGAGGUCUUCCAUUGCGAUAGUCUUGAGUGACCGAGUCUAUAUCCAAAUUGGGAAUUUAGUCAUCUGUUUACGUACGUAUGGCUCAGCUUUUCAAAUUCUCCAGUAUUGGGAAUGAUUUGGUAUGAAUUGCAGCGUAAACUUGGUUUCACAUACGCCUGCAUUGAUCACCCAGCCCGUCUCCAUCUGAACACCCCGAUGGAGGGGGGUUUAGUAUUUGCAGUAAGAUUUGAUCCACAUUGACCCAUCAUUCACACGCUUUCAGUUCACGACAAUUGCCCUUCAAAUUUCUAAAGAAUAAUAAUGCAUUAAUUCAGGCAUGAUAAUCAACGCACACAUCUGAUUCUCGAACAAAAGCAUCAUCAAGUCAAGGAUAAGGCAAAUUUCUCAAGAGGGUAUUUGUAUGGGCUUAAGAAUAAAUUAAAUAAUGAAUCGAGUCAAGAACUAAGCACACAUUUUCUUUCUUUCUCGAAUUAUAGGGUUUUCUUUAACAUUUUUGGGAAGACUUAAGGGAUUAAAUAAAUAAAUAAAAUAGUCUUAAUAAUCGGAUUUUGCCAAGUGAGAUCAUGCCUCCAAACAAUGGAACUAACCCAAGUUUUGGGCUUGUAUUAUAUAAGCAGAAUAAGACUGCUCUCCUACUGUUUUCCCACUUCCCACAUGGAGGAGGGGCUAACUAGUUGAAAAGAUUGAAAACGAAAACACAUUCUAAAUGUGCAAUACUUUUGACAGCUUGUCGUUUGUUUUUGGGUUUUGGUAGGUAGCAUACUAGCAUCCAUGAAGUAGCCAUGUCCUUAUUAGACGAAUAAGUUUGGGACGUUUUGGUUAGUUUUUGAAGAGGUGCAUAAAAUGAGCUUGAGUCGGUACCAACAAGUUGACAAUCCCUCCUGAGUCCUAACCAAAAGGAUGUAUGUUGAAUGUUGAUUAUUAUUGCAUGAUGCAUGUGGAAUUUUAUUUUCUAAAGCAUGUUUGGAAUGGAACACACAUCAAUCCCAUCCAUCACUGCUUGAUGACUUAGAUUGAUAUAAGCUAUAAAAAUGUCAAGGGCCAAGCCAACUUGUUUGACAUCUCACGCGAACAAGCGUUCAUAUCAAAAUACCAUUUAAGCUUUAUCUAUAUACACAUUGAAAUCUCUUUAUUCAAACAGACAGACUGAAACAUGUGACAUCAUGUGAAAAGAAUGGAAUGGAAUGGAACCUCUGUUUUCACUUCCCUCUAUUCAUCUUGCAGUAUUGUAUUGUAUUACAAGUUACAACUUCAACUUUGGAGAACAAAUUAACUGAUGAAAUGAAAAUUUAAGAAUUAUCAGAAAGAAAAGAAUUCAUAAAUGUUUUCUCUGGACGAAGAUCAAAAUGACCUUCUAAUGUUCUUGAAAUCUACAGACUCAAUGCAUUCCAACCCAGCUCUGUAAGGAUUCAGGAGUUUCAAAAGCUCAGUUGUCUUCUCCUUUGUGUUGUCAUCACCGCAACGAACCUGUAAAACUAACAGGAGCUUCUGAAAUGUACCAACUUGAAGGGCCUCAACAAGAACUCUUUCUUCUUGACUGCUUGCACACUUGCACAGCUUCCAAAUAGCAGAAAUUGAAUACUCAGUCGCCAUUUCUGAUACCCUCAAAAUCUUCUUGACCAAGACAGGUAUAGUGAGAGCAUUAGCAUAGGCCUUUUCCCUCCCAUCUUGGAAAUCGCAAAGACUAUCCAAAACACCCAAAGCCCUCUCACAUAUGCCUCUUUCAGAGUCGACAAGAAUUUCCAACAAUAUGGAAACUAAACCCAUCUCCAGAAAUGCUGAUUUGAUCUUCUCACUAGAUUUAGAAGAAGAAGAAGAUGAUGAUGAUGAAACCAAGUAGAAGACCACCAUCAGUGAAGCCUUGGUAAUCGUCGGAGAAAUUUUCUCUCUGAUGAAGUCGAAAAGUACCUCAUUCACUCCACCAAUCUCCGCCAACGCAUCAACAUGUUUAUUCCGGUCAUGGCAAGCAAGAAGCUCUUUCAAUGCUAAAAUAGCAUUUUGCUUUACUGAAAGAUCAUCACUCAUCUUGAGAAACCAAACCAUGCCGUGCAACGAAGCCUGAGACCCCAAGUAUUUGUGGGCUUCCUCAUCGAAAGCUGGAAGCAUCCAACUCAGCGCAGACAAUAUCUCUUCACAAACGGUGGCAUUUCUCUUUAUGCAAUCACUUGCAAAAGAAUCAAAGGCACCAGCUAGAACAGAGGCCGUCCCAUUCUCCGAGAUGCACCGCUUGUUGCGUUCGCUCUCAGCUCCCCACUUCUUGAUUUUGUGCACACAUUCUAAGCAGCCAUGUUGAUCCAAACGUCUAGCAGAGGCUCCGAUGCUGAAAAGAAUCUCAGAGACCUCCAUUGGCAAGACAGGAAUUCUGGGUGUUGGGACACGUUCGAUGCCGUAGUGCUUGUUUUGAGUGCACCACUCUUGAAUCAUUCUUCUGAGACUAUGGUUGGGAAUCUGAUCAAAGUUUCUCAGCACCUGAUUUGUUACCGGGCAAGUGAAAUUCCCGGCUUCGAGCCACGUGUCAAUACUCUGUCUAUCGUAGGUUAUUCCGGAUGACAAUGUAACCGGAUCCUUCAUCAGGUCCAGCGAUAUUGGGCACAGGAAGUGGUUUGGGAUGAGGGCUUCCAUGUCUAGGUCCCGGGGCUGCUUUUUCUUGGUGCCGUGGCCUGUUCUCCUUCUUGUCCAGCCUAAAACCAUUGCUUGCUGAUUAGCUAGCACAGAUUAAGUUUUGAUCAGAAAAGCAGUGAGAGAAGUUGAUUCUUCUGUUUUUGUUGGUGGUGUUUUUUGUUUGUGAAAAAAUAGGAGGGGAGGUGAUGGGGUUUAUAUACUAAUAAUACUAUAUGUUGUUCCGGCCACAACUUUUCAGGUUUUCAUACACGCGGUGUUCAAAGAUGAGACCAUUUUGCAUAUGGAGAGAAAUGGGAAAGAAUUGAAUAAGUAAACAAAUUCAAGCAGAGGGUUUUAGGAAUAGUACAAUUUGAAUGUUGACCGUUGAAGCUUUGAAAGUUUUAAAAUUAACCGUCAAAAGCGGGGAAGUGGUAAAAGUAAGCUCUUCCUUCAUGGGCCUCAAAUGUACCAAAUAAACGAAUUAUGUUUUUAAAUUAUGAUGAGCUACUUUAAGUAUGGGGUUAUGUAUGAGGAUGAGGUUUUGACGCGUUGACCGAGAUUCUUUUCUUCUUCUUCUUCCGUUUUUUUUUUCUUAAUCUGAAAUUCUGAAUCAGAUAUGACGAACAAGACCGAUAUCUCAGCUGUUACAUUUUUUUCAUUUUUUCUUGUAAGUCUUUUUUUAAAAAUUUAUUUAUUUGAAAACGGAAAAUUACAAGCAAAGCAAAAACCACCAGAACACGCAGGCCCAAACAAAUCGAAGUAAAAAGAAGAGAACAUCAAUUUUUUCUUGUAAGUCUUCAUUGGUGUUUUUUUUAAUUUAUUUUUUUUCUUCGUAGUAUGUAGUAGGAGAAAAGGAAAAACAAAAAAGUCAGUCACCUCAACUUUGUAAGAACGAGUCCUAGGCUCCUCCUUAUCAGACUCUCUCAGCU